CCCUUGGUGGUGCAAAUGGUUAACAUGCUCAGCUGCUAACCGAAAAUGGGUGGUUUGAGUCCACCCAAAGGGG
rnacentral:tRNA from 1 species